ACGACUCCUCUAUUCACACAUGAUGGAAACUCGUCUGAACUUCAGUUCAAAAGAUUGCCAGAAGUUGACAUUAAUAGUUCACAAUGGACAGAUGCAUUCUCAGCAAAUGCUAUAGGUUUGAUCUAUCAAAACAUCGAGAAGCUAGAUAAUUUUGUUUCCGCUUUGCUUUCAAGGCAUAAGAAACCAACACACAUGACCUUAUACUGGUUACCCUACACAUGUGGAGCAAUUGGUUUCUCUUUAUGUUCUCUAUGGCUAUUACGCCAUAGUAGCUUGAUGGGAAGUUCUGACGACCGUAACUUGGUUCGACAUGCUAAGGAUUCCAUCGCUAGAUUCUGGAGUGAUCCUGUUGAACCAAUCAUUUCUGUUGGAGAGGGGCCUUUUGAGGCAAUGAAGCGAACAGAUAGACCUGCAAUGGAAAAACAAUAUGCCCGACAAACUGAAGAGUCACUGCGC